UUCUUCCAUUAAUUAAGAUAUUAUUUUUUUCUUAUUAUUCACAUGGUCUACACUAUAAAUAGGCAUUCAAUUCAGAGUUGUAAUUCAAUCAGAAUUUUUACCUUAUUAAUAAAAUUAAGAUAUUUUUGUUUUAAGUUUCUAAGCCUAUAAGAGUGAGUGAGUGAGUCUUCGACCAACUUGUGUUAAGAAUUUGGAUCAUUUAUUGAGGUAAGUCUCGUGGCGUCUUUUCAAUUCUAGUUCUUUAUUUCUUUCUCAGUUACAUUGGUUUUCAUUCCCCUAUUGAGUAUGGGUUAAGUAGGGAGGGUUUACUUAGAGUUUUGAGUUUUUGAUUGCUAAUGUAUAUGCAUGGUUUUGGAUUUCGUUGUUGAUUCCGGGUUCUGCAUAAAUUAGUUUCUUAGAAUUGAUUUUUGGUCAUUGGACGUACUAAUAAUUUAUUGUAAAUUUUUUUAGGUGGCAUCGACGGGGAUUGUGAUUGGGACUAAAUCCUUGAAUUUAGUAUGUAUCGCACCACAAUUGAGAUAAGAAUUGUAGUACUCCCUUGAUAAUUUUUAAUGAGUUUUCUCUAUGCAUGUAAACGGUGUUAUUUGAAUGAAAAUAGAAAACAGUGUGAUUUUGAAUGAACGUAGAUGUGUGUGCGCGUUCAUGAGAUUUUAAGUUAAAAAAAUUAAUAUUUUCUUGUGUGUUUUCUAUUACUAGAUUUCCAUUACUCUGUGUAGGUAUUAGGAGAAGGCAAAAUCAUUAUAAGAGGAAGUUAGAAAAUAAAUAAAUAAUAAAAUGAGGGUUAGGGAAUAAAAUGAUGAAAAUUAUAAAUAAUUAAUUAAGUAAAUAAUUCGGUAAAUAAUCAUAAAGAUAAGAAGUAAUAAAAACCAAUAAUUUGAAAAAUAAAUAAGAAGAGAAAAUAAUAAUGUAGUUAAGUAAAUAAACAGAUAAAAUUAGGAAAAUCAAAUAAAAAAUUGAAAUAAAAAAUAAAUAAAUUAACAAUAUAAUAAUGUGAAAAUAAAAUAAAUAGAUUAAGGUCACCUAGAAAAAUUUAGGUUUAAUUGAAAAAGUAUGUUUGUUAUUUCUAUUUAUUUUAUGCUUGCUAUAUUUAUCUAGUUUAUUGAUUGAUUAAAUCAGAAAUGUUAUUAUUGUUAAGGGAAUUAAAAUGAGUUGUUUUGGAAUGCAUGAAUUGAAAUAGAAAAUGAAAAAAGGGAUAGGUUGUGAUCUAGGGAAAGACUAAUAAGGGUGGAAAGAACAAAGAAGGGAAAUGGGGGAACCACAGUAGAGUUAGGAUUAAUCAGGACCAGGAUAGCUAGGAGUUGUGUCUAAAAAGACAAACAAGUCAGGAGUUUAAUAAAAUGUAUUCAACCGAGUAGUCUGGUAAAAUUCAAUUCGCCUAAUUUUCUUGGGGGGCCUAAUUUUAUUGUAUUGAUUGUUUUGGGACUCGAUUAGAACUGGUGUUCAGUAUUUUCGGGAUGGAUAACAGAACCAUUGGAUUCAUGUAUAGUGACCAAAGAGAUUGAGUGAUUGCAUUCAUUAUUAUUUAAUUGACGUCCCCGCUCUAUGGCUUUGGUCAAUUUUUGGAUUGCUUCCUUGGAAAUGUGUGAACGGCCUUGCGCAUGGAUUUGGCAACAUAAACUUAAUUGAAGAUAUAAAUGAAUGUAAAAGACUUAAGAAAAAAGAAGAGUCAGAGUCAGUUCUGGUCAGAGUCAUUGUGUCAGUAUCAGACUGUGUUCGUGUUCAGAGCUUACGUGUGAUUGAUGGUAUGGGUGUUUGCUUGGGGUUUUGGGGAUUGGAAUAUGGGAACAAGUAUGACAUUGGAGAUUAUAUGGUAUCGAUUGUAGAGUAGCACUUGUACGACAGGGAUUAAUUGAUGGGUUGAUAGAUUGGUUGACUGUUAUUACUUAUUGAAUAAAAUAGUUUUACAUAAAGAAUUAAAUUUUAUUUGUAAAGAGUUUUUAUUGAAAUGUAUUAAAAAGUUUUUAAAAUAUUAUUGUGGCAUGUUAGUACUGCAUUUAUUAUUGAGUUGCCUAGAACUUACCCUAAUCUAGAUUGUCUUUUUAGAUUAGAGAAUUCUAAUAGGGUUAGCAGCCAGUGAG
rnacentral:lncRNA from 1 species